CUGGGAAAACAGGGACAGGGGGAAGACAGAAACUGCUGCAAGGCUGGAGGCAGCAGUGAGUUAGGCUUCUCCAGUGUGAGAGACUGCGCUCCACCCAAAACCUAGUGCCUGUUCAGGGGACAGACUGACACCCCAGGGCCACCAACAGGACAACACCUGCCCCAGUGAGGGGACCAGAGAAAGGAAACCUGGUGUCUUCAGAGGCCACAGAACUCCAAGAACUGGUCACCAUAGCCUGCAUGAGGUCACAACCAGGAGAAGCAGGUCUGUGUGUAGCCUGGGCAUGUUGAGGUGGUAGAACCCAGUCAUGGGCGAUUGAAG